UUUUAUGAGAGUUUGAUCCUGGCUCAGGACGAACGCUGGCGGCGUGCCUAAUACAUGCAAGUCGAACGCAUUUUCUUUCACCGUAGCUUGCUACACCGGAAGAAAAUGAGUGGCGAACGGGUGAGUAACACGUGGGUAACCUGCCCAUCAGCGGGGGAUAACACUUGGAAACAGGUGCUAAUACCGCAUAAUUCCAUUUACCGCAUGGUAGAUGGAUGAAAGGCGCUUUUGCGUCACUGAUGGAUGGACCC
rnacentral:rRNA from 1 species